UACGGAGGGUGCAAGCGUUGUUCGGAAUUAUUGGGCGUAAAGGGCGUGUAGGUGGCCAACUAAGUCAGACGUGAAAUCCCUCGGCUUAACCGGGGAACUGCGUCUGAUACUGGAUGGCUUGAGUGUGGGAGAGGGAUGCGGAAUUCCAGGUGUAGCGGUGAAAUGCGUAGAUAUCUGGAGGAACACCGGUGGCGAAGGCGGCAUCCUGGACCAUUACUGACACUGAAACGCGAAAGCCAGGGGAGCAAACGGG
rnacentral:rRNA from 1 species